UUUUGAGAGCCCGAAGAACAUUUGCCCCGCAGAAAAAGAAGAGCGCAAGAACCACGGGAGAAUAUAUACGUGUUAAAACGGGAUUAAGGCAUUUUUGAACCUAGAGAAAGUAGUAGCAAAAAUAGUCCAACUGAGUGCGAAUAAAUCGCGAAGAUAAGUGAUGUCCUGGGAACCAGCAGUAGAUUCCACGGAUUGCAGACAUUAUUCAAUGAAUGGGAGCCACAUUUCAGAGGAACAUUAGUGUGUGCCAACAGCCCAUCCCCUUCCAUGGGAAUUCUGCUGGCCAAGUAUAGGCCUCAUCCAGCCUGGCUGGUGAGCAGAGGAGCUGAGGAGGAGCUUAAGGAAAAGUCUGAGGAGGAGUGGAGUAGGAGAGAAAAUGAGAUAAAGCAAGAGAUUAGAAGGAGAAGCAGC